GGAAUCGAUAACCGCUGAAAGCAUCUAAGCGGGAAGCGAGCCCUGAGAUGAGUCAUCCCUGACCCCUUGAGGGUCCUAAAGGGCCGUUGGAGACCACAACGUUGAUAGGUGGGGUGUGUAAGCGCAGUGAUGUGUUGAGCUAACCCAUACUAAUUACCCGUGAGGCUUAACCAU
rnacentral:rRNA from 1 species